AUAAUAUCUGUAUAUUCUCUUCAUAUGAAAAAUAGGGAGUUAGAAUCUAGCAAAAUUAUUCAACUGCGUUGCCUAACUACGCUACCAAAGGAAGACCUGAGAUACAUGAUUAAAUGAAGACAAGCUAUGAAAUCUAUUUCAUGCUUUCUGUAGCUCUGGAGCAUCUACCCAAGUAUGACUUCUGUAUCUCUUUAAUACAUAUAUACACAUUCAUGAUUACCCUGCAAAGCAUAAGAUACUAUGCAAAUAUUUAUUUACGGUUUAAAAUAGUAGCUAAUAUUGUAUGGCAUUUACUAAUGUCUUACGGGGUAUAUUGCUUAUGACAUGGACCACUGUUUAUAAGCUACAGUUAUGUGAAGUACACCAAAGACAAUUUGAUAUGACACACUAAUGGGCCCUAAAUGUAAGGGAAUCAUACUAGUAUGUUUAUGAGAUAUAUACAUUUCUCUCUGUGUCUCUCUCUGUCGCUGUCUGCCUCUCUGUCUCUCUGCCUCUGUCUCCCUGUCUCUGUCUCCCCCGCCCCCUCUCUAUUGCUCUCUGUCUCUGUCUCUAUCCCUCCCACUCCAUGUUUAGGCCAAAGGUCAACCUUAGGGGUCUUCCUCAGUCACUCUCUGUCUUAUUUUUGAGACAGCAUCUCUCACUGAACCUGGGGAUCAUCAGUUUGUCUAGACGGUCUGGCAGUGAGUCCCAGAAACCGUCCUGUCUUUGCCCCUGAAGCUGUAGGAUGACAGAAGCAUGGCUUCUCAUGCACCUUUGAAGUGGGUGUGGGAUAUUCAAAUGCUGCUUGCAGAGAGAGCACUCUACUCGCCCAGCCGUCUCUACAGCCCUUGGUAUCUGUUUCUCCUGAGCUAUCACACUUAUAUGUCAGUAGUUGUAGGAACCAUGACCAUGGAGUUUAUUCAUUCCUUUUUCUGGUAAAGCACAUUAGAAAGUGGCUAGUACUGGCUAAAAAAUAGAAUAUAUGAGGUAUGUGUUAAUUUCUACCAAUAAUGAGUACAAAGAAGUAAUUAUUCCUGUUCUAUUGUAUGUUCUUCUCUGUGUGUAUUUUCACCUCGCGUGCCAUUUUUAAUUCACUCUGGAUUUUUGUCAUAUCUUUAUGAACUUGUAGUGAAAUUUGAACACUUUUCCCUUGCAUACCUUACAGUCCAACUUUACUGACAAGUGUUAACCAUGCAUUUUCCGACAAGUGAAGUAACUGGCAUUUAUUAGGUAUUCUUGUUAUGUUCAUAAGGUCAUGCCCUAAAUGCUGUAAAUAAUAUUUCACUCACUAGUGAUAUACCUGCGAUAGUCAUCAUUGUCGCUAUUUUUAAGGUAGAGAAGUUAAAAUUUAGAGAAACUAGUAAAUUGAUCUGAACUCCACUUAUGAGCUGAGUCUCCAACCUAUGGGCUUUCUUUUGCAAGUUGCUGGCUGGUCACAUUGGCCUCAGAGACUGUUCAGAAACUUCUCUCAACUCAGGCUACAGUGUGUGGCCUUUUAGCUAAAAUUUUAUUUAAUUGACCCUCUCUGUCAAAACCUGUGGUUUUUAAACUUGGAAAUUGUGUGCCAAGAGGGAGAAGAGAGAAAAAUCCAGCUGUGUUACUAUCUUCUGUUUUUAGCGUCAUGAACUGGAGAUCUUACGAAGUCACAGCUACGGAAGAGCAACUCCCCGGACCAUCAGAGGCAGACGUAAAGAGUGGGGGUUGUUAGUUCUGUCUCAGUAGGUGAUCCAUGAGACCCUUAUAAUAGGAAGUUGUUCACACACCAAACCCAUCAUAGAAAUGUAUUGCAUGCCUUGGUACCUGGCAUCUAGAGUGUGAGAUUAAAUACCAGGCUUAAAACAUUCUGUGAGCAAGGUACUUCUGUAUUCCUCAGACCUCCGUAUAGUAUAAUAUGGGUAAAGAAAACAAAAUGUAGGAAAAGAAGUCUGCUUAGUGUAUCCCUUCUUAGGCUGUUAUAUGAAGCAGCAUGUGAUUUUUCUUCAGUCAGAAUUAGCCAUUUCCUGAGGCACAGUUGAAAGACUAAAUUGUGCUUAGAAAUAAAGAUUUAAACUAAGUGCAAGUCAAGACAUAAACAUAAAUUUAGAGGAAAAUCUGUCUUAACAUCUCAGUCCUUUAGGGUUCAGAUAUGGAAAAAGCAUGCAUAAGAAACAGAGGUGCUUGCUAUGCAGCUUAAAACCCAUCAGAUAAACAAGCGCCCCUCCCACUGGCCAUUACUGACUACCACAUUUGAGGAGUGUUUCCUUUUUUAAAUUACUGUCAAGCAUUGGAAUGUUUUGUAUGUUUCAUUUAUUCUCAUAUUAUUGGAUUCUUUUUUAAGUGUUUGUCAGCCCUUCAUAACUUGAAGAAACUAAGUUGUGAUGGAUUGAUUGUGGAUCUGUAGCUUCCUUUUAAUAUUUAAAGACUGACUAAAAGCCUAAAAGCAUAGCUUUCCAUUCAUAACGUCUUCCUAGUGUGUUUACUACACUCAGUACUUUUAUCAGUGAUCUGCUGUUUCUCAAUGGAAAGAUAAUAAUUAUGUUAUAAGAAGGAUCACCCAUUUCAUUUUCUUUUAAAGAAGAUUAUUUUUGUUAUAUUCGUGUGAGUAUUUUGCCUGUGUAUGUGCACCAUCUGCCUGCAGUUCACAUAGAGGCCAGAAGAGGGCGGUGGAUCUCCUGGAUAGAGCUGGAUUUAAGGACACUUGUGAUUCAUCAUGUAGGUUUUAGCAACCCAAGCUGACACCCUUGGAAGAGCAGCAGUGCUCCCAACCACUGAGCUAUCUCUCCAGUCCCCAAAUUUAUGUUUUCUUUAUUGACUAAAUAUUGGCACUGUAGUUAACUCACUAGAUAAAGUGCUUGUUGAGCAAGCAUGAGACCUUGAGUGUAGAUCUCUAGCGCCCACAUAAAAACAGGGCAGAACUGAGUUCAAACCAUAACUCCAGUGCUGGAGUAGGGAAGAAGUUGACAGAGAGGCAGGCAGGUUCUGGGAUUCUUGGCUGGACAUCGUCACUGCAAUGGUGAGCAGUUAGUUGAUUAACAGACUUUGUCUCC
rnacentral:lncRNA from 1 species